ACACAGAUGAUGAUAAAAUGUCGCUGAACGUUGAACUUUUUCUAUUUUUGAAAGAGUUCAAUUUAAAUAGGAUGUUCGCUUUUGCGAGGCAUUUGUCUGAUGUAUAC